UACGGAGGGUGCAAGCGUUAAUCGGAAUUACUGGGCGUAAAGCGUGCGCAGGCGGUUUGUUAAGUCUGUUGUGAAAUCCCCGAGCUCAACUUGGGAAUUGCAAUGGAUACUGGCAGGCUGGAGUAUGGUAGAGGAAGGUGGAAUUCCCGGUGUAGCAGUGAAAUGCGCAGAUAUCAGGAGGAACACCGGUGGCGAAGGCGGCUUGCUGGGCCAGUUCUGACGCUGAGGAGCGAAAGCGUGGGGAGCGAACAGG
rnacentral:rRNA from 1 species